GCGGGGGUCGCCAAGCCCGGUCAACGGCGCAGGGCUUAGAACCCUGUUCCUUAGGGAUUCGUGGGUUCAAAUCCCACCCCCCGCACCA
rnacentral:tRNA from 3 species